ACGCCGGGCACCCACCGCACGCGUUGCGUAAGCAGCACGGCGAAGCAGCACGGCGCGACGCGUAGGGUGUCUCCACUGGUUCCGUUUGUGUCGCGCAAAGGCUUGCUUAAAGCUCUAUAUUCCAAGUAGCUCUCGCAGUCUGCAGUGGGAUUACAUCGUGUAUUUCACGUUUGUUCAUGACUGUUGAUUAUGGGUUAAGUGAAUACUUUGGUGAGAGACCUUUUUCAGUUUGUUAAUUUGUUAAUUUGGUAAUAUUUCGUUAACUCAUAAAUACGUCAGAAAGUAAACGCUUUCAAGAAUUACCAUAAACUUAAAUCGCAACGUAGCCUGCAUAACAAUCAAACAAUCAAAUCUCAAACUGUAUUAAUUUAUUUGCUUGGUUAACAAGCGUGCCAAUUUCAUGAAGAAUAUGUAAUGAUCAUAAUAAUAAGAAAUAAUCUGUAAUCAACCAUUGGGAAUUCCCGUGUUGUCUUGUCAUUCACGUCAAAACAUUUAUAGGAUCAGAUUUAGUAAAAUCAGCUAAUCAUGAAAAAGACAGUAACAGUUUAAUCUUAAAGGGAUAUGAACACCACAGCGCCAUGAACACCGGAAGCUUUGAAGUACAAUAAGUGCAAUAAAGGCUUACUUACAACUUCAUUUAUAAAAUAGGUGCAUUUUCAUCGGCAAGACCACUAAAUAAUCAGAUUUUUUUAAGCUCUGUGGAUUAUCUGAUUUUUAUUAACAAGCCCUUUUUGAAAGCACGGCGAACGAAGACAUCGGAGAAGUCAAAUAGGCUGAGCAAUGGUUGGUUAAAAACUACCUUCCAACACUAGAGCUAACAAACUGCUGCUCGGUGCAUUCACUUCUACGUCAUUCAAUAGGCUACGUCUUUCUGUGGUGUAUUUUCAAAUUUACCCCACCCCCUCCGCAAAAUAAGACAGCGAAACUAAGUUAGCCUUUUCCCCAGGUUCCAGUUAUUUAUUUAUUUUUACAAAACGAAAAGGCUUGCAUUUUUUUAAACUGCUUAUAAAAUAUCUAGGAGGUAACUAGGAACACACCCGCAGUAAUAUAAGGAUGAAAUAUAAAUCAGAGCAUGUAUACCUAGCAUUUUUGAGCAUAUUUCUGUGUAUAAACAGGCCAUCGUGACGCGCGACAAGCCGAAAAAAUAGAACAGAAGCGAAAAACUACGCUUCAGUUCGCUUGUGUCGCGCGAGCUUCGCAGCCGGUACGCGACGCGUUCGCAUCUGGUGGAGACGACGUCGCCCGCUGCCGUUGUAAUAACAGUACUUCAACUACGCUUCAGUUACGCGCGUAAUACGCGCGUAGUGCGCUCGCGGUCGAUACGCGUGCGGUGGGUGCCCGGCUUUAGCUCCCCUACUUUGUUUUUUUUUUUUUUUUUGUCCACCUGUCUGCCUGUAGGUGGAGCUGGUGAAGGCUAAUUGAAUGAUUGAAGUGCACCUGAGCAGGUGCAUUCCAGGGGAUAAGCCAGUUCAUCGCUGCUCACAUGCAGCUCUUUUUGUCUCUUCAACAGCUUUGGGCAACGGCUUCAGUUUUGUCUCUGAUCUUCAGGUGGCUCUUCUUUCUUUGGUUAUUUGUAUUUUAUAAUAUUUAAGGACCUGUCAGCAAAGACUGGCAGCUAUCAAAUGAAAAUCUUCUAUACUGCUGACCCUGAGAAAGAAAAUGAAGUCUUAUUUCAGAAAUAACUUUGUUGAGCUCCAGAGGAGACAGGCCUUUGGUUAGAGCAGUGGCACACAGCCUCAGAAAGUACAAAAGCAAGUCUACAGGCCAACGGGGAGAGCGUGAUUAAAGCAAGCAAGUCCCACAGACAACCUUGUGCGGGCAGAAUGGAAAGAUGAGUGCAGGCUCAUCGACUGAAGGCAGUGAUGAAACAAACUGGUGUCAUCUUUCUGACCUGUACUUUCCAUGCUUUCCAUCACUGCUUCAAAGCACAGGCAGCCCCUGGGUGAAUCAACACAUUUUCUGCUUUUGUGGAAUCUAUGGUUUGCAAAUUUAUUUUUUUUCAAAGAGAGACCCAAAUCUUACCUGAAUGACUUACCAAGAUCAUACCACGCCUUGCUGCCAACAUACACAGGAUAACAGCUAAAGGUCAGAUCAGUGAGAGACGCACCUCUCCACAUGUAGUGUGGGACACUACUCAAGUACUGUACUACUGACUGUGUCCUGUGUUGGCUGUAGGGUAGGGCCUCUGGCUCUCCAGUCAUACUGUGUAGCCUGUAGGAUGUAAAAUUGUCUUUGGCUUUCCUAAAUGCUAUAUGGUCUGGUGACUGGUGGGUGUAAAAUAUGCAUAAACUCGUACUCUGCAUAAUUGGAGGCUUCAUAAAGUGAAAUUUACUAUUUCAAGUGUAAACAUAAUUAUUUGUUAAGGAUCAUCAAAAAGUAUGAG